rnacentral:rRNA from 1 species
AACGAACGCUGGCGGCAUGCCUAACACAUGCAAGUCGAACGAGACCUUCGGGUCUAGUGGCGCACGGGUGCGUAACGCGUGGGAACCUGCCCUUAGGUUCGGAAUAACUCCCCGAAAGGGGUGCUAAUACCGGAUAAUGUCUUCGGACCAAAGAUUUAUCGCCUUUGGAUGGGCCCGCGUUGGAUUAGCUAGUUGGUAGGGUAAAAGCCUACCAAGGCGACGAUCCAUAGCUGGUCUGAGAGGAUGAUCAGCCACACUGGGACUGAGACACGGCCCAGACUCCUAGGGGGGGAAGCAGUGGGGAAUAUUGAAAAAGGGGCGAAAGCCUGACCCAGCAAUGCCGCGGGAGUAAUAAAGGCUUUGGGGUGGUAAAGCUCUUUUCCCCGGGAUGAUAAUGACAGUACGGGGAGAAUAAGCCCCGGCUAACUCCGU